rnacentral:rRNA from 1 species
GACGAACGCUAGCGGCAGGCCUAAUACAUGCAAGUCGAACGAUAAAUUCUCUUCGGAGAAUACGAGUGGCGGACGGGUGCGUAACGCGUAUGCAACCUACCCUAAAGUGGGGGAUACCCAGUGGAAACGCUGAUUAAUCCCGCAUAAGAUCUUAAUACUACCUGGUAUACAGAUGAAAGCUUUAGCGCUUUAGGAUGGGCAUGCGUCCCAUUAGUUAGUUGGUAAGGUAACGGCUUACCAAGACAAUGAUGGGUAGCUGGUCUGAGAGGAUGAUCAGCCACACGGGCACUGAGACACGGGCCCGACUCCUACGGGAGGCAGCAGUAAGGAAUAUUGGUCAAUGGGGGGAACCCUGAACCAGCCAUGCCGCGUGCAGGAAGAAGGCUCUCUGAGUCGUAAACUGCUUUUACAAGGGGCUAAUGGUUCGCUAUAUGCGGAAUUGCAGGUACCUUGUGAAUAAGCACCGGCUAACUACGUGCCAGCAGCCGCGGUAAUACGUAGGGUGCAAGCGUUGUCCGGAUUUAUUGGGUUUAAAGGGUGCGCAGGCGGUCUGUUAAGUUCGUGGUGAAAUCUUCCCGCUCAACGGGAUACCCGCCGUGGAAACUGGCAGAC